CCAACUUCAAGAUAAGAUUUCCCACCGCAAGGGUAAGACCCCAGAAAGACUAUCUGGUUGAUAGGUCGAAGGUGUAAGUGCAGCAAUGUAUUUAGCUUAUCGAUACUAAUAGGUCGAGGACUUGACCAA
rnacentral:rRNA from 1 species